AAGUUAUAGCAAGGUUUCUGUAGGUGAACCUGGAAAGAUCAUUAUUGAAUAACUAUGGUGGGUUGUUGCUGGCUUCUGAAAGCAAGUGCAUACCUGCUGUCUUUAUCUAUCCCAUUGUGCACUAUUUGUAGUCUUGGAGAGGGGUUUGUGAAAAUUCUUUUGCUUCCCCUUGCCAGGUCUAUGUCUUAUUGUAGUAUGUCACAGAAUGUAAUAAACAAGGCUUUUGUGCCUAUAAAACUCUAUACAACUUUCAGCAACAGAUCUCUUGGCUCUU
rnacentral:misc_RNA from 1 species